UAAGCACAAAGUCCUAGUAUGAUGAAACUGCGAACGGCUCAUUACAACAGUUAUAAUCUUUUUGAUGAAGUACGUACAAGGAUAUCUUUGAGAAUGUCAAAGCUAAUACUUGACGGUUUUCACCCCUUGUCGAGUCCAUUCCCUCUGGGAGUGUAAUCGAUGAGGGCGGGGGAUGCUUCACGUAUCCUCUACAUAUUACCACUUUUUUUUGAAUGAGGGUGGAAUAUAUGCCAAGAGAAUUGUAGAAAUCGAGAGAUUUUCACAAGUCAUCAUUAAGAAUAUCUGACCUAUCAACUGGUUGUUGGUAAGGUAGUGGCUUACCAAGGUGAUAACGGGUAACGAGGAAUAAGGGUUCGACAUCGGAGAGGGAGCUUUAGAGAUGGCUACCACUUCUAAGGAAGGCAGCAGGCGCGAAAAUUACCCAAUCAUAACAAAUGAAGGAGGUAGUGACGACAAUUAACGCUAUCCUCGUCUUUUGGCGAGGAUCGUCGGAAUGAUUUCGAUUUAAAAUAUCGAAAGAAGCCAAU
rnacentral:rRNA from 1 species